rnacentral:rRNA from 1 species
AACGCUGGCGGCGUGCCUAACACAUGCAAGUCGAACGAAGCGUCCCGCCCGAAGAUGAGGAGUGCUUGCACAAAUCUGACUCAAUUGGGAUGACUUAGUGGCGGACGGGUGAGUAACGCGUGGGUAACCUGCCUUAUACAGGGGGAUAACAGUUAGAAAUGACUGCUAAUACCGCAUAAGCGCACAGUAUCGCAUGAUACAGUGUGAAAAGCCGAGACGGUAUAAGAUGGACCCGCGUCUGAUUAGCUAGUUGGCAGGGUAACGGCCUACCAAAGCAACGAUCAGUAGCCGGCCUGAGAGGGUGAACGGCCACAUUGGGACUGAGACACGGCCCAAACUCCUACGGGAGGCAGCAGUGGGGGAUAUUGCACAAUGGGGGAAACCCUGAUGCCAGCGACGCCGCGUGAGUGAUGAAGUAUUUCGGUAUGUAAAACUCUAUCAGCAGGGAAGAAAAUGACGGUACCUGACUAAGAAGCUCCGGCUAAAUACGUGCCAGCAGCGGC